rnacentral:rRNA from 1 species
GACGAACGCUGGCGGCGUGCUUAACACAUGCAAGUCGAACGGUGAAAGGGAGCUUGCUCCCUGGAUCAGUGGCGAACGGGUGAGUAACACGUGGGCAACCUGCCCCAGACUUCGGGAUAACGCUUCGAAAGGAGUGCUAAUACCGGAUACGAACUCCUUGGGCAUCCUUGGGGUUGGAAAGUUUUUCGGUCUGGGAUGGGCCCGCGGCCUAUCAGCUUGUUGGUGAGGUAACGGCUCACCAAGGCGACGACGGGUAGCCGGCCUGAGAGGGCGACCGGCACACACUGGGACUGGGACACGGCCCAGACUCCUACGGGAGGCAGCAGUGGGGAAUAUUGCGCAAUGGGCGAAAGCCUGACGCAGCAACGCCGCGUGAGGGAUGACGGCCUUCGGGUUGUAAACCUCUUUCAGCAGGGAAGAAGCGAAAGUGACGGUACCUGCAGAAGAAGCACCGGCUAACUACGUGCCAGCCGCCGCGGUAA